GAGCUGAUGAAACCAGCCACAGCUGAAUAGUGAGGAGAAAAAGCUCGGUAUUUAUUGCUUUUGUUUGGCUUUUGGCUACAGACACUGGAACACUGUAAUGGGGAACUGCGGACAUAAGAGGAUGCCCUCUACAGCAGGAGAGAUAGAAUGAUGAGAGCUCUUCAGCCUGGACGCCCGCUACAGCAGGAGAGAUAGAAUGUUUGCCCAAGAUUUUCAGCCACGAGAUUCUGAUGAAUGGACCCCUAAUGACUGUAUUUUUUCUCUCUGUGCUCUAUGGGGAGCUUGUCCAGGAUUCGAAGAAUGCGUUGUGGAUGAACUUUCAGCAAACUGACACAGAUUGGAAGAGAUGUUUGUGUGUGUGUGUAUAUUGUGCAUUCUAAUCUUCAAUGGCAUAAUUUAGCUAUGCAGUACAUGCACCAUAUAUAAAUUCCCUCUAAAUCUAUUUGAAAUGCAUGGUAUUGAUCCUAAAAGUUGAAAAAAGAGGGAAAACAAAAUUAUGCAUUUUUUAUACCCUUAAGCCUUACCAUCUCUUCAUCUAGGGAAAUCAUAAUACAGUUGCUUAUAUCAGAUCAUUCCUUACAUAAUUUCCAUUUAGAUUUUUUUUAAAUAGGUAUCCACAAAACAAAUCCAUAGAAUAGCAUAGUAUCAUAUUUAUAUAUUAAUAUUUUUUUUUUGUUUAAUUCAAUGUAUCAUUAAAACUAUAAAAUAAAG